AUGCAAUGGUUUGCAGCUUAAAAUUUAUUGCCAAAUAAGCGCGCUAAAUAAUUCAUCUCCUUUCGUCUGUUCUGAUUUCCCACCCUUUUAGCUUAAAACUCAAUAACUCGGUGAUUUGAUGGUAAUAAUUGUUUAUUCAAAGGGAGAGAAGGAUAAAUAUUUCUCGAUAUUUGCACAAACGUGUGCUGAUAUGAUUGUCACAAGUGAGAACAUUUCCCUCCCACUUCAUUGGCAAAAGUUAUGAAAGCAAACCUUCUUUAGGAGCCGUUUUGAUAGGCUGUGAGCUAUUGUGCCUCUCAUUCACGAGCUUUGUCGAGCCAUUAAUUUUUGAUAACUUUGGCCAUCCACUCUCAUUUCGCGCCUAAUUGAAUCUUCGCAAACGCAUUUAAAGAUUUUAGGAAGACGAAUGAGUUGCUGUCAGAAUCCCGCUUAGUUUUGGUCAAAUCCGUGUUGCUAAUGUACUUGUAUAAUGGCUUCGCGACACAAGUUAUCCGCAUAUCAAUGGCAAAAGAUAAUACGGCUAAUAAUAACGACCUAAGUAACUUGUAGCAAACGGGGGUAACAGAUAAUUGCUCAAUCGAAAACCGAAACAUUUUCUCGUCUAAGUUUAGCAACUCUGGGCCAAUAUAAUGUCAACGCGAAUUGGUCAGUUGUCACAAGCUAAACCUCAAAAGCGUCUCUCGAAUUAACAGAGCGUGGUUUCUCAAUAUUUGCGUGAAGCAUCUGCCUGAAUAAGUGAGGUAAAAAAGCUGUCUCAAUAAAAAUGAACGUAAUUUUAUAAUGGCAACCCUUUUGUCCAGUGUGUGAAUAAUCUAUGCAUAAGUGAUGAAGCAAGCCAUCAAAGUCUCACACAUUUCUAAUGGUUUGAUAAUAGGCUUUUGGCAAAUUUCGUAUUGAAACAUCUGUUUUUCAACCUCAAAAUGUAAGGUGUUUCUAGAGAAAUGUUUUUUUCAGAGACCGUCAAUUUACCAAGGAUAGAAUUCAAACGUAGUUUGAUUCAAAGCUGUAAUCACCAAGGCUUGAAAUAAAAUCACAGUCUUUUACAAACUACAUAAACUCUCACUUCGAUUUGAGUUUGAAAAGUCGAUCAAUUCAAGAAACGGAACUUAGAUAUUGGAUUAUCGACAGCACUUAACGAUAAGGCGGGUGGGUUUUAUUAAUAUUCUCCGAGAGUGAUGUGUAGGUAUUUACAGAAAUCAGUUUGUUGUUUCGUUGAGCGAAGCUACAGCCUUAUCGAGAUAAACUGAUCAACCUCCUGGUGUGAUAGCGCAGAUACAGCAAUUUUCAUUGAUCAGCGUGAUUAAACGAAGUCAAAAUCUAUCUUUCAGCGCUACAGGGAGCUUGUUCGUUCAAAUUAGUGUAUACAGAAAUCUGGCAUGAACUCGUUACUACUCAAUGCUGCGGUUCGUUGGAUAGCCAGAGACCUUUACUGCCUUUGCACCAAAGAAAUUGCUGAGAUGAACACGCAGAAAACCUCACCACAAACCACCGAGGCGCAAGCCUUCACCAUGGAUAAAUCAGUUUCUUUUCUUAACGUUCGUAUUUCUCAAGAAGAGGAGAUCGGAGUGCGGCGGUAAAGCGAAUGCUUCAGUCCACUGGCCGUUUUCACAACAGAACAUUUGAAUAAACUGGAAUUUUAUGCCAAACUGGAAGGAGAGCCUUGCCUCGCUGAUGCGUAAAGGAACAGUCAGUGGAUUAACGCCGCGAAUUCUUAUAAUUCAGAUUAGUGAAAACAAAAUAUGCUGAUUUGUUGGGCCGGAAAGAUAUAAUUAAACGCUUUAUUGAAUAUAAGUUAUGGAAACCUUACUCUUCUUUUGAUACCUUAUCAUUCCCUAUUCUAAGUGUUAAAGCAAUUUCUAUAGGCGGGCGACAAUAGCUAUAUUUAAAAAUAAAUUAAUCAAAGAUUUAGAAAAACACUCGUGUUCUGUUUGUUAAACAAAAGAACACGAGUCAAUGGCGUUCUGCUUCACCAAAUUUUAUCUCGGAAAAAAUGAUACCUGAAUCUUCGAUUAUUUACCUAUUUAUUUCAGUCAUUUUCUUCUGCUUCGCAAAGCUUCCUUCAUCGCUAAGGAUAUCACGGAAUACUUGUGCGGGAACAAAAAAUUGGACAAGCGAAGCAAUUAGAAGCCGAGAAAAAUUGAAUAAUGUAAAAGAUUGAAACCACUUUCAAAUGAAGGAGUUGAAAAGUCAGCCCUACUUUUUAUAAGAUCCAUAAUUGUAACGAAACUAUCAGAAGUUUAAACCCGUUCUCGUUGUCAACCACGUUAAUUGCUUUAAAAGAACUUUAUCGCGACUGUUUGCAAACAAGCGCUUUGGGCUAUUUACACCGCGUGAAAUAGACACCUGAACAGAGCAGUGUCUUACAAAGAGAGAGACCUGUUUGGCGCUACCCCGGAGUCAUGCAACAAUUAGCAACAGAGUGAGCAGAUAACGGCAAAAUGACCGGCAAAACGUCGCCGAGAUGACAAUUUCGUUACUGCCCCCCCCACCGAGGCAAGUGAGCUGUAACGAACCUCAUUGUUCGAUUGUUGUUCCUCCGUGGGAAUCAAACUUGUACUACAGCCAAAACAUUUUACGCAAAAGACAGCAGGUCGCAAAUUAGACAAUUUCUUCGUCGUCACCCACUGAGCUAAAGUGGCCGGUCUACGUGCCGAAUUGUUCUCCGCCCGUGAGAUAAGUCACUUGUUGCCCACCAACUGAGUCAGCUAAGUUGCUUUGCGGAUUUCCGACAAUAUGGUCUGAUACAUGGGGGGCCCCACGUUUUAAAAUUAAGCACGCUUCUAAAAUUUACAUUUCCUCGAGAAAACAUAGAAUAAGUAGAGCCCUUUAAAUAUUGAACAAAUACAUACUUUCGUCUAAAUAAAGUUCAAACAAGUAAGUUUCAUCGAACGAAUGCGAUACGCCCUAAUCGAACUCAAACUAGGUUCAAAUGUUUAUUAUUCCUAAUAUUUCUUUUGGUGAGUACACUGUGAUCAAUUGCUGAACUGAAAGCAAGGUGAACCACCUUUAAUCACGCAAAAUUAACAACAGCUACAAAUUUGUGUUGUAUAACUACAUAACUACAUUAUAACCACACUUUCAAAUUGCUAUAUCUUUGUCCCUUCACCCUUUCUAAAACACACGUAUCACCAUACCACACAGCCAUGCGAGUGAUGUUAAAAAACGUUUAAUUAAAAAAAAAACAGGGACUAUAAAUAAUAACAAAAAUAAAUAACAUCGCUUGAAAAUAUAACCAAACAUACGCAUAUUUCUCUUAGAAGGAGAUGAAAUCCAACCUUGGAUACAACUUUACUAGGGUUUAACCCUUAAACUGGCAUGAGUGACCAAGACAGAUUUUCUCCUUAAAGUACCAAGCAGGCAAGCCAUGAGAAUAAAGGAAAAUAUAAACGAGGGGAUUUUCAGUUGAUCCAAUACGAAUUCCCCAAACUUGCAUCAUAAGAAUUGUGUAGCAGACAGUAGUGAGAAUUACUAUGAAGAUCUUGAGAGCGAAAGGUUACAAGUGACUUUUUCCCUAGGCACCGACUCAUGAUGUGAUAGGCGGCUAUGCUCGAACAGGAACCGUAAGUCGAAAUCCAGACACGAGAAAGAACCUGCGAACGGCGG